UACGAAGGGGGCUAGCGUUGUUCGGAAUUACUGGGCGUAAAGGGUGCGUAGGCGGCGCGGUAAGUCGGGUGUGAAAUCUCGGAGCUUAACUCCGAAACUGCAUUCGAUACUGCCGUGCUUGAGGACUGGAGAGGAGACUGGAAUUUACGGUGUAGCGGUGAAAUGCGUAGAUAUCGUAAGGAAGACCAGUGGCGAAGGCGGGUCUCUGGACAGUUCCUGACGCUGAGGCACGAAGGUCAGGGGAGCAAACGGG
rnacentral:rRNA from 1 species